rnacentral:tRNA from 1 species
AGAUUAAUAGUUUAAAAAAAAAUAUUUAAUUUGCAUUUGAAUGAUAUUAUAAUUAAUUUAAUUUU